rnacentral:rRNA from 1 species
AAACGACAUCGAAAGCUUGCUUUUGAUGGGCGUCGACCGGCGCACGGGUGAGUAACGCGUAUCCAACCUGCCCACCACUUGGGGAUAACCUUGCGAAAGUAAGACUAAUACCCAAUGAUAUCUCUAGAAGACAUCUGAAAGAGAUUAAAGAUUUAUCGGUGAUGGAUGGGGAUGCGUCUGAUUAGCUUGUUGGCGGGGUAACGGCCCACCAAGGCGACGAUCAGUAGCCGGACUGAGAGGAAGGUCCCCACAUUGGAACUGAGACACGGUCCAAACUCC